rnacentral:rRNA from 1 species
AUUGAACGCUGGCGGCAUGCCUUACACAUGCAAGUCGAACGGCAGCGGACCUUCGGGUGCCGGCGAGUGGCGAACGGGUGAGUAAUGUAUCGGAACGUACCUUUCAGUGGGGGAUAACGUAGCGAAAGUUACGCUAAUACCGCAUAUUCUGUGAGCAGGAAAGCAGGGGAUCGCAAGACCUUGCGCUGAUUGAGCGGCCGAUAUCAGAUUAGCUAGUUGGUGAGGUAAAGGCUCACCAAGGCGACGAUCUGUAGCGGGUCUGAGAGGAUGAUCCGCCACACUGGAACUGGGACACGGUCCAGACUCCUACGGGAGGCAGCAGUGGGGAAUUUUGGACAAUGGGGGCAACCCUGAUCCAGCCAUGCCGCGUGAGUGGAGAAGGCCUUCGGGUUGUAAAGCUCUUUCGGCCGGGAAGAAAUCGCAUGGGUUAAUACCCUGUGCGGAUGACGGUACCGGCAUAAGAAGCACCGGCUAACUACGUGCCAGCCGCCGCCGUAAUAC